UGUCUAGAGUGGAAGAGCUGCAGCUAGACCCUUCUGGAAGGAGUGUGUGUGUGUCACAUUUAUAGCAUCUGACUCGGUCAAUGACAAAGAACAAGAUGAACACAUACAGAAAGCAGAUAGCAGAACAGUUCCUGAGUCAGGCGCUGGGCAUAAUCUGCAUGCUGACCGGAGAGGAAUACACCAUUGUGAAGAAGAGGCCCUCCCACAGCAGCAAUCACCGGCUGAGCGGAGAGGUG